rnacentral:rRNA from 1 species
GGCGUAGGCGGGUUCUCAAGUCUGUGGUGAAAUCCUCCAGCUUAACUGGAGAAGUGCCGUGGAUACUGGGGACCUCGAGGUGGGUAGGGGCAUCUGGAACAGCCGGUGGAGCGGUGAAAUGCGUUGAUAUCGGCUGGAACUCCGAUGGCGAAGGCAAGGUGCUGGACCCUCUCUGACGCUGAGGCGCGAAAGCCAGGGAGCGAACG